GGCACACGGGUACCAUCCGGUCUUUCGGCCACGGCUUGUUCGCCACGGACCGGUCGAUCUUCUUUGAGCGUCACGGCCAUUGGACAUUGGUCGUGCGGCAGGUAGGUGCC
rnacentral:sRNA from 1 species